GGAUCAGGGCACGGUAGAGCAGCAGCUGGCAAAGUGAUUCUGUUGAGCUUAAGCUCAUAGUGCCUUAGCGAGUUAGCAUGGGAAAUACCUUGCUAUUGUCUGUGACUCUGUGAUUGUGUGAGUAUGAGUGACAGAGUGGGGACAAAGAGAGAGGGAGAGAGAAUACAUUAAAUUUUAAAGAAGGACAAUAAGAGAUGCCUGGGUAGCUUACUCAGUUAAGCAUCUACCUUUGGUUCAGGUCAUGAUCCCAGGGUCCUGGGAAUGGAUCCCAUACCAGGCUCUAGUGGGGGGCCUGCCUUCCCUCUGCCUGCUGCUCCUCUUGCUUGUGAUCUCUCUUCCUCUGUAACAAAUAAUAGUAAAAAAUAAACAAGGGCGAUAAGUUAUGUUUACUUUUGUUUCUGAUGCCAGACAUAGGUUCAGAGGAUUGAAGAGGGAGAUCCAAGGAGCUAGCCUCUUAAGAGGAGUGAAUACCUAGUCACUGAGUGAUUUUCUGAAUGCAGUUAUGGGCAGUGCUGGGUACUGAAGAAGACGCUCUGCUGACCAGAGGAGUGGGGAAAUUACAGAACAAAUUCCACAGCAUUUCUCCAUUUGAACUGGCCACCUUUUAAGUGGUCAUUAGCCACAGGUGGCUACUAGCCAUUGGGCUUGGACAGCAGAGGUGUGGAAAGUCCGCACAUUCUUCCACUCAAAGGAUAUUGAAAAUUUCCAGUUCUCAGUAUAACUGCCAACUGGCCCAGGGGUGGACAAGUGAGUCAGAUGAGACCAAAAUGAAAAUUCUGUUGAGACACUGGACCUUGAGGAUUCAAGCCAAGGACGAAAAAGUGUUGGUACUCCAUUAUUCUGAUGGUCCAUUAACUCUUGCUUUUUUGGUUCCUGUGUCUAUCACAGCCCCUGCCUUUUUGAAGAUAAUGACCACUCAUCUGAGUACACAGUUCGCAGAAUCCCUUUGCGGUGGCCCAUGCGGGCCAAGGUAGUAGAGCAUAAUAGAUCUCUAGAAGGCCACUAGAAACAGCAGGUGAUGGCCCCAGCUCCUGUCCCUCCAUGCAGAACAUCUGUCAACACCUAUGGACAUCUUUUCUCCCCCAUUCCUAUGAAUGUUGCUCAGUUGUUACAUGGCAUGGACAAAUGCUGCUGGCUGGUGGCAUGGACACACUGGACAAGCUUGGCCUUCGGUAAAACAAAGACUGGAUUCAAUUACUCAAACUGAAACAGGAAUGCUUGGAUGAACAAGCCUGCCAGGAAGUCCCACUGGAGGUACUCAACCUGUGCCCCUUCCCUCUUUGGACCAAGAACCUGAACUUGAGAGAUGAAUGGCUUAUCCAAGGUUAUGGCAAGGUUACACAGAGCUGAAAGUAGACACAGGUGUACAUGCUUAUUGAUCAAGGCUGGCUGUGAAAUCGAACUGCCUCAAAUCUUGAUUCUUUUUGCCACUUCUUAUUCUCUGACCCUGUUUUUCAUAGUUUAGGAUGUAGGAAUAAUAAAAAUAUCAGCUAAUGGGGUAUCCUGAC